rnacentral:rRNA from 1 species
AGAGUUUGAUCCUGGCUCAGAUUGAACGCUGGCGGCAGGCCUAACACAUGCAAGUCGAACGGUAACAGGAAGCAGCUUGCUGCUUCGCUGACGAGUGGCGGACGGGUGAGUAAUGUCUGGGAAGCUGCCUGAUGGAGGGGGAUAACUACUGGAAACGGUAGCUAAUACCGCAUAAUGUCGCAAGACCAAAGAGGGGGACCUUCGGGCCUCUUGCCAUCGGAUGUGCCCAGAUGGGAUUAGCUUGUUGGUGGGGUAACGGCUCACCAAGGCGACGAUCCCUAGCUGGUCUGAGAGGAUGACCAGCCACACUGGAACUGAGACACGGUCCAGACUCCUACGGGAGGCAGCAGUGGGGAAUAUUGCACAAUGGGCGCAAGCCUGAUGCAGCCAUGCCGCGUGUACGAAGAAGGCCUUCGGGUUGUAAAGUACUUUCAGCGGGGAGGAAGGGAGUAAAGUUAAUACCUUUGCUCAUUGACGUUACCCGCAGAAGAAGCACCGGCUAACUCCGUGCCAGCAGCCGCGGUAAUACGGAGGGUGCAAGCGUUAAUCGGAAUUACUGGGCGUAAAGCGCACGCAGGCGGUUUGUUAAGUCAGAUGUGAAAUCCCCGGGCUCAACCUGGGAACUGCAUCUGAUACUGGCAAGCUUGAGUCUCGUAGAGGGGGGUAGAAUUCCAGGUGUAGCGGUGAAAUGCGUAGA